rnacentral:rRNA from 1 species
UGGGGAAUAUUGCGCAAUGGGCGAAAGCCUGACGCAGCGACGCCGCGUGGGGGAUGAAGGCCUUCGGGUUGUAAACCUCUUUCACCACCGACGAAGCUAACGUGACGGUAGGUGGGGAAGAAGCGCCGGCUAACUACGUGCCAGCAGCCGCGGUAAUACGUAGGGCGCAAGCGUUGUCCGGAAUUAUUGGGCGUAAAGAGCUCGUAGGCGGUCUGUUGCGUCUGCCGUGAAAACCCGAGGCUUAACCUCGGGCCUGCGGUGGAUACGGGCAGACUAGAGGUAGGUAGGGGAGAAUGGAAUUCCCGGUGUAGCGGUGAAAUGCGCAGAUAUCGGGAGGAACACCGGUGGCGAAGGCGGUUCUCUGGGCCUUACCUGACGCUGAGGAGCGAAAGCAUGGGGAGCGAACAGGAUUAGAUACCCCUGUAGUCC